AACGCGAAGAACCUUACCUGGGCUCGAAGCGCAGUGGACUGGGGUAGAAAUAUCCCUUUCCCGCAAGGGACUGCUGCGGAGGUGCUGCAUGGCUGUCGUCAGCUCGUGUCGUGAGAUGUUGGGUUAAGUCCCGCAACGAGCGCAACCCUUAUCCCUAGUUGCUACCGGGUCAAGCCGAGCACUCUAGUGAAACUGCCUCGGAUAACGAGGAGGAAGGUGGGGAUGACGUCAAGUCCUCAUGGCCUUUAUGUCCAGGGCUACACACGUGUUACAAUGCACGGUACAGACUGUUGCGAACCCGCGAGGGGGAGCUAAUCGGAUAAAACCGUGCUCAGUUCGGAUUGCAGUCUGCAACUCGGCUGCAUGAAGCUGGAAUCGCUAGUAAUGGCGUAUCAGAUCGACGCCGUGAAUACGUUCCCGGGCUUGUACACACCGCGUGUCU
rnacentral:rRNA from 1 species